GCUUGUCUCAAAGAUUAAGCCAUGCAUGUCUAAGUAUAAGCACCCUUAUACUGCGAAACUGCGUACAGCUCAUUAUAUCAGCAAUUAUUUAUUUGAAGGUCACCUAUUACAUGGAUAACCGUGGUAAUUCUAGAGCUAAUACAUGCGAAAAGUCGGCGCAAGUCGAUGUAUUUAUUAGAUACAGAACCAACCCAGGCUCUGCCUGGUCUUGUGGUGAUUCAUAAUAACCGAACGAAUCGUAUGGCAUCAGCUGGCGAUGAAUCAUUCAAGUUUCUGACCUAUCAGCUUCCGACGGUAGGGUAUUGGCCUACCGUGGCAAUGACGGGUAACGGAGAAUUAGGGUUCGAUUCCGGAGAGGGAGCCUGAGAAACGGCUACCACAUCUAAGGAAGGCAGCAGG
rnacentral:rRNA from 1 species